rnacentral:rRNA from 1 species
AUUGAACGCUGGCGGCAUGCCUUACACAUGCAAGUCGAACGGCAGCACGGACUUCGGUCUGGUGGCGAGUGGCGAACGGGUGAGUAAUAUAUCGGAACGUACCUUUCAGUGGGGGAUAACGUAGCGAAAGUUACGCUAAUACCGCAUAUUCUGUGAGCAGGAAAGCAGGGGAUCGCAAGACCUUGCGCUGAUUGAGCGGCCGAUAUCAGAUUAGCUAGUUGGUGAGGUAAAGGCUCACCAAGGCGACGAUCUGUAGCGGGUCGGAGAGGAUGAUCCGCCACACUGGAACUGAGACACGGUCCAGACUCCUACGGGAGGCAGCAGUGGGGAAUUUUGGACAAUGGGGGCAACCCUGAUCCAGCCAUGCCGCGUGAGUGAAGAAGGCCUUCGGGUUGUAAAGCUCUUUCGGCCGGGAAGAAAUCGUGUGGGCUAAUACCCCAUAUGGAUGACGGUACCGGAAUAAGAAGCACCGGCUAACUACGUGCCAGCCGCCGCGGUAAUAC